UCAGGAUGAACGCUAGCGACAGGCUUAACACAUGCAAGUCGAGGGGCAGCAUAAAAGUAGCAAUACUUGGUGGCGACCGGCGCACGGGUGAGUAACGCGUAUGCAACCUACCUAUCAGAGGGGAAUAACCCGGCGAAAGUCGGACUAAUACCGCAUAAAACAGGGGCACCGCAUGGUGAUAUUUGUUAAAGAAAUUCGCUGAUAGAUGGGCAUGCGUUCCGUUAGGUAGUUGGUGAGGUAACGGCUCACCAAGCCGACGAUGGAUAGGGGAACUGAGAGGUUGGUCCCCCACACUGGUACUGAGACACGGACCAGACUCCUACGGGAGGCAGCAGUGAGGAAUAUUGGUUAAUGGGCGGGAGCCUGAACCAGCCAAGUCGCGUGAAGGAAGAAGGAUCUAUGGUUCGUAAACUUCUUUUGCAGGGGAAUAAAGUGCAGGACGUGUCCUGUUUUGUAUGUACCCUGAGAAUAAGGAUCGGCUAACUCCGUGCCAGCCGCCGC
rnacentral:rRNA from 1 species